rnacentral:rRNA from 1 species
UACAGAGGUGCCAAGCGUUGUUCGGAUUUACUGGGCGUAAAGGGUGCGUAGGUGGUUUGGUAAGUCGGAUGUGAAAUCCUGCAGCUCAACUGCAGAACUGCAUUCGAAACUGCCAAGCUGGAGUACUGGAGAGGAGAUCGGAAUUCUCGGUGUAGCAGUGAAAUGCGUAGAUAUCGAGAGGAACACCAGUGGCGAAGGCGGAUCUCUGGACAGUUACUGACACUGAGGCACGAAAGCGUGGGGAUCAAACAG